GAUUGAACGCUGGCGGCAUGCCUUACACAUGCAAGUCGAACGGCAGCACGGGGGCAACCCUGGUGGCGAGUGGCGAACGGGUGAGUAAUACAUCGGAACGUGUCCUGUAGUGGGGGAUAGCCCGGCGAAAGCCGGAUUAAUACCGCAUACGCUCUACGGAGGAAAGGGGGGGAUCUCAGGACCUCCCGCUACAGGGGCGGCCGAUGGCAGAUUAGCUAGUUGGUGGGGUAAAGGCCUACCAAGGCGACGAUCUGUAGCUGGUCUGAGAGGACGACCAGCCACACUGGGACUGAGACACGGCCCAGACUCCUACGGGAGGCAGCAGUGGGGAAUUUUGGACAAUGGGCGAAAGCCUGAUCCAGCAAUGCCGCGUGUGUGAAGAAGGCCUUCGGGUUGUAAAGCACUUUUGUCCGGAAAGAAAACCUCCGCCCUAAUAUGGUGGGGGGAUGACGGUACCGGAAGAAUAAGCACCGGCUAACUACGUGCCAGCAGCCGCGGUAAUACGUAGGGUGCAAGCGUUAAUCGGAAUUACUGGGCGUAAAGCGUGCGCAGGCGGUCCGCUAAGACAGAUGUGAAAUCCCCGGGCUUAACCUGGGAACUGCAUUUGUGACUGGCGGGCUAGAGUAUGGCAGAGGGGGGUAGAAUUCCACGUGUAGCAGUGAAAUGCGUAGAGAUGUGGAGGAAUACCGAUGGCGAAGGCAGCCCCCUGGGCCAAUACUGACGCUCAUGCACGAAAGCGUGGGGAGCGAACAGGAUUAGAUACCCUGGUAGUCCACGCCCUAAACGAUGUCAACUAGUUGUUGGGGAUUCAUUUCCUUAGUAACGUAGCUAACGCGUGAAGUUGACCGCCUGGGGAGUACGGUCGCAAGAUUAA
rnacentral:rRNA from 1 species